rnacentral:rRNA from 1 species
AUUGAACGCUGGCGGCAGGCUUAACACAUGCAAGUCGAGCGGUAGCACAGGGGAGCUUGCUCCCUGGGGGACGAGCGGCGGACGGGUGAGUAAUGUCUGGGAAACUGCCUGAUGGAGGGGGAUAACUACUGGAAACGGUAGCUAAUACAGCAUAACGUCGCAAGACCAAAGAGGGGGACCUUCGGGCCUCUUGCCAUCAGGUAUGCCCAGAUGGGAUUAGCUAGUAGGUGGGGUAAUGGCUCACCUAGGCGACGAUCCCUAGCUGGUCUGAGAGGAUGACCAGCCACACUGGAACUGAGACACGGUCCAGACUCCUACGGGAGGCAGCAGUGGGGAAUAUUGCACAAUGGGCGCAAGCCUGAUGCAGCCAUGCCGCGUGUGUGAAGAAGGCCUUCGGGUUGUAAAGCACUUUUAGCGGGGAGGAAGGUGGUGAGCUUAAUACGCUCAUCAAUUGACGUUACUCGCAGAAGAAGCACCGGCUAACUCCGUG